rnacentral:rRNA from 1 species
UACAGAGGGUGCAAGCGUUAAUCGGAUUUACUGGGCGUAAAGCGUGCGUAGGCGGUUCAUUAAGUCGGUUGUGAAAUCCCUGGGCUUAACCUGGGAACUGCAGUCGAUACUGGUGGACUAGAGUACGGUAGAGGGUGGCGGAACUCCGGGUGUAGCGGUGGAAAUGCGUAGGAUAUCCGGAAGAACACCGAUGGCGAAGGCAACCACCUGGGCCUGUACUGACGCUGAGGUACGAAAGCGUGGGGAGCAACAGGA